rnacentral:misc_RNA from 1 species
CGUCGAACUCGCGGCUGCCG